rnacentral:rRNA from 1 species
UACGUAGGGUGCGAGCGUUAAUCGGAAUUACUGGGCGUAAAGGGCGCGUAGGCGGCCUUCUAAGUCGAACGUGAAAUCCCCGGGCUCAACCCGGGAACUGCGUCCGAUACUGGUGGGCUUGAAUCCGGGAGAGGGAUGCGGAAUUCCAGGUGUAGCGGUGAAAUGCGUAGAUAUCUGGAGGAACACCGGUGGCGAAGGCGGCAUCCUGGACCGGCAUUGACGCUGAGGCGCGAAAGCUAGGGGAGCAAACGGG